CGGGCACAUAUGAACAUGGGACCAACACAGAUGCCUUCAGCUGCCAAGUGCACAUGUAACAGGUCAGCCAGUGUCAUAGGUACAAAACUGCUGACAGAUGUCCUUUAAACGUACAUUUAUAAUAUACAACACAAUCCAGGCUUUGUAUCUGGAAACUGCAGCAGUAAUGCAUUCUAUAAUACUGUUUAUAUUGACUGAAAAAAGAAGUUCUAUGUUUUUAUGUUGUGUGUUUUUUUUUUUUGUUUUUUUUUAUCCACCCCUCCCCCCUAAGCCACACACAUAAAUUUUUGAGUUGUACUUGAAUGUGUUAUGUCUCAUGAAGAAACUUUUCUCCCUGUCUAAAACAUAUAGACAUCAUAGAGAGGGGUCUCUGCUCACAUAAGAAAACUGCAGUCGUGGCCCGUCCACGUAUUACAUUGAUAGCGAUUUAUCCGAUUGGCCGUUGUGCAAUACUAUAGGUAUAUCAGUAGUAUUAUAAUAUACUGGACUUGUUGUAUUUUAUUUCUUAAAGCCGUUUCGCUAGUCCUCCGACUUCUUAACGGCUUGUACGAGAAAUCUCCGGCAUUAAAUACUGGUGCUGUUCUAACCUCUCUCCAGAGACAGUUUAAUCACACCUAAUGCUUCAGUCAUGCAAUUAACAUCUUACCUCCGUGACUGAAGCUUGAGUCGCCAGUAUUUAAUGCCGGAGAUUUCUUGUACAAGCCGUUCUAAUUAAGAAAGCCAGUCAGAUGACUAGCAAAACAUCUUCAAGAGAAAAUACAAGAAGUCCAGUUGCUCCGACUUAUUGCUGCUGAUAUACCAUGACCUGGAUGAAUGAGAACCUUCACAGACAUAAUACUAACAGGAUUUAUGCUGAUUCCAUUGCGUUGAAAGGAAUGCGCCUGAAUCCUCGCCAUGUAUCUAUCCUCUUGUGGCGGCUGACGUCUUUUUUAUGUAUUUUGUGUACUUUGUUCUGUAUUGCUGUCCUUGUCACUUUAAUUUGCUGUCGUCUGUACAUCGAGUAGUCACAGUUUUGGUUCCUGCGAUCCGUGGUCUGUAAGCGGUACGCCGACUACAUCACUAUUACGGACCUCAUACAUGUGAGAUUUUAAAGCCACUGGACUGAUCCUUUUGCACAAUGAUUUUAAUGUAUGUGAUGUUUCUGUUCGUUUCUUGAUCUGUCUAAGGAGGUAAAUGUGACUUUUAUUAAAUAAAAACCGGAAGGAUUGGGUGAGGGAG